rnacentral:rRNA from 1 species
AAAGGUAAGCUACUAAGAGCGAAUGGUGGAUGCCUUGACUGGUAAAGGCGAUGAAGGACGUACUAGACUGCGAUAAGCUACGGGGAGCUGUCAAGAAGCUUUGAUCCGUAGAUUUCCGAAUGGGGCAACCCAAUGUAUAGAGAUAUACAUUACCUAUAUAGGAGCGAACGAGGGGAAUUGAAACAUCUUAGUACCCUCAGGAAAAGAAAUCAAUAGAGAUUGCGUCAGUAGCGGCGAGCGAAAGCGCAAGAGGGCAAACCCAGUGCUUGCACUGGGGGUUGUAGGACUGCAAUGUGCAAGAGCUGAGUUUAGCAGAACAUUCUGGAAAGUAUAGCCAUAGAGGGUGAUAGUCCCGUAUGCGAAAAACAAACCUUAGCUAGCAGUAUCCUGAGUAGGGCGGGACACGAGGAAUCCUGUCUGAAUCCGGGUCGACCACGAUCCAACCCUAAAUACUAAUACCAGAUCGAUAGUGCACAAGUACCGUGAGGGAAAGGUGAAAAGAACUGAGGUGAUCAGAGUGAAAUAGAACCUGAAACCAUUUGCUUACAAUCAUUCAGAGCCCUAUGUAGCAAUACAGGGUGAUGGACUGCCUUUUGCAUAAUGAGCCUGCGAGUUGUGGUGUCUGGCAAGGUUAAGCAAACGCGAAGCCGUAGCGAAAGCGAGUCUGAAUAGGGCGCUUAGUCAGAUGCUGCAGACCCGAAACGAAGUGAUCUAUCCAUGAGCAAGUUGAAGCUAGUGUAAGAACUAGUGGAGGACUGAACCCAUAGGCGUUGAAAAGCCCCGGGAUGACUUGUGGAUAGGGGUGAAAGGCCAAUCAAACUUCGUGAUAGCUGGUUCUCUCCGAAAUAUAUUUAGGUAUAGCGUUGUGUCGUAAUAUAAGGGGGUAGAGCACUGAAUGGGCUAGGGCAUACACCAAUGUACCAAACCCUAUCAAACUCCGAAUACCUUAUAUGUAAUCACAGCAGUCAGGCGGCGAGUGAUAAAAUCCGUCGUCAAGAGGGAAACAACCCAG